rnacentral:rRNA from 1 species
AUUUGUCUGGUUAAUUCCGAUAACGAACGAGACCUUAACCUGCUAACUAGAUACUUUUAUUCUAUAAAUGAUAUCUUCUUAGAGGGACUAUGUAAUAAAAAUACAUGGAAGUUUGAGGCAAUAACAGGUCAGUGAUGCCCUUAUAUGUCCUGGGCUGCACGCGUGCUACACUGAUGCAUACAACAAGUGCCUAACCAGACAUGGUACGGCAAUCUCGAAUAUGCAUCGUGAUGGGGAUAGAUCUUUGCAAUUAUAGAUCUUGAACGAGGAAUUCCUAGUAAGUGCAAGUCAUCAUCUUGCAUUGAUUAUGUUCCUGCCCUUUGUACACACCGGCCGUCGCUCCUACCGAUACCGGGUGAUCCGGUGAACCUUUUGGACUUAUUUGGGAAAGAUAAGUAAACCAUAUCACCUAUAGGAAGGAGAAGUCGUAACAAGGUUUCCGUAGGUGAACCUGCRGAAGGAUCA